UUAAGCGACUAAGCGUACACGGUGGAUGCCCUGGCAGUCAGAGGCGAUGAAGGACGUGCUAAUCUGCGAUAAGCGUCGGUAAGGUGAUAUGAACCGUUAUAACCGGCGAUUUCCGAAUGGGGAAACCCAGUGUGUUUCGACACACUAUCAUUAACUGAAUCCAUAGGUUAAUGAGGCGAACCGGGGGAACUGAAACAUCUAAGUACCCCGAGGAAAAGAAAUCAACCGAGAUUCCCCCAGUAGCGGCGAGCGAACGGGGAGCAGCCCAGAGCCUGAAUCAGUGUGUGUGUUAGUGGAAGCGUCUGGAAAGGCGCGCGAUACAGGGUGACAGCCCCGUACACAAAAAUGCACAUGCUGUGAGCUCGAUGAGUAGGGCGGGACACGUGGUAUCCUGUCUGAAUAUGGGGGGACCAUCCUCCAAGGCUAAAUACUCCUGACUGACCGAUAGUGAACCAGUACCGUGAGGGAAAGGCGAAAAGAACCCCGGCGAGGGGAGUGAAAAAGAACCUGAAACCGUGUACGUACAAGCAGUGGGAGCACAGAGCAAUCUGUGUGACUGCGUACCUUUUGUAUAAUGGGUCAGCGACUUAUAUUCUGUAGCAAGGUUAACCGAAUAGGGGAGCCGAAGGGAAACCGAGUCUUAACUGGGCGUUAAGUUGCAGGGUAUAGACCCGAAACCCGGUGAUCUAGCCAUGGGCAGGUUGAAGGUUGGGUAACACUAACUGGAGGACCGAACCGACUAAUGUUGAAAAAUUAGCGGAUGACUUGUGGCUGGGGGUGAAAGGCCAAUCAAACCGGGAGAUAGCUGGUUCUCCCCGAAAGCUAUUUAGGUAGCGCCUCGUGAAUUCAUCUCCGGGGGUAGAGCACUGUUUCGGCAAGGGGGUCAUCCCGACUUACCAACCCGAUGCAAACUGCGAAUACCGGAGAAUGUUAUCACGGGAGACACACGGCGGGUGCUAACGUCCGUCGUGAAGAGGGAAACAACCCAGACCGCCAGCUAAGGUCCCAAAGUCAUGGUUAAGUGGGAAACGAUGUGGGAAGGCCCAGACAGCCAGGAUGUUGGCUUAGAAGCAGCCAUCAUUUAAAGAAAGCGUAAUAGCUCACUGGUCGAGUCGGCCUGCGCGGAAGAUGUAACGGGGCUAAACCAUGCACCGAAGCUGCGGCAGCGACGCUUAUGCGUUGUUGGGUAGGGGAGCGUUCUGUAAGCCUGCGAAGGUGUGCUGUGAGGCAUGCUGGAGGUAUCAGAAGUGCGAAUGCUGACAUAAGUAACGAUAAAGCGGGUGAAAAGCCCGCUCGCCGGAAGACCAAGGGUUCCUGUCCAACGUUAAUCGGGGCAGGGUGAGUCGACCCCUAAGGCGAGGCCGAAAGGCGUAGUCGAUGGGAAACAGGUUAAUAUUCCUGUACUUGGUGUUACUGCGAAGGGGGGACGGAGAAGGCUAUGUUGGCCGGGCGACGGUUGUCCCGGUUUAAGCGUGUAGGCUGGUUUUCCAGGCAAAUCCGGAAAAUCAAGGCUGAGGCGUGAUGACGAGGCACUACGGUGCUGAAGCAACAAAUGCCCUGCUUCCAGGAAAAGCCUCUAAGCAUCAGGUAACAUCAAAUCGUACCCCAAACCGACACAGGUGGUCAGGUAGAGAAUACCAAGGCGCUUGAGAGAACUCGGGUGAAGGAACUAGGCAAAAUGGUGCCGUAACUUCGGGAGAAGGCACGCUGAUAUGUAGGUGAAGUCCCUCGCGGAUGGAGCUGAAAUCAGUCGAAGAUACCAGCUGGCUGCAACUGUUUAUUAAAAACACAGCACUGUGCAAACACGAAAGUGGACGUAUACGGUGUGACGCCUGCCCGGUGCCGGAAGGUUAAUUGAUGGGGUUAGCGGUAACGCGAAGCUCUUGAUCGAAGCCCCGGUAAACGGCGGCCGUAACUAUAACGGUCCUAAGGUAGCGAAAUUCCUUGUCGGGUAAGUUCCGACCUGCACGAAUGGCGUAAUGAUGGCCAGGCUGUCUCCACCCGAGACUCAGUGAAAUUGAACUCGCUGUGAAGAUGCAGUGUACCCGCGGCAAGACGGAAAGACCCCGUGAACCUUUACUAUAGCUUGACACUGAACAUUGAGCCUUGAUGUGUAGGAUAGGUGGGAGGCUUAGAAGUGUGGACGCCAGUCUGCAUGGAGCCGACCUUGAAAUACCACCCUUUAAUGUUUGAUGUUCUAACGUUGACCCGUAAUCCGGGUUGCGGACAGUGUCUGGUGGGUAGUUUGACUGGGGCGGUCUCCUCCUAAAGAGUAACGGAGGAGCACGAAGGUUGGCUAAUCCUGGUCGGACAUCAGGAGGUUAGUGCAAUGGCAUAAGCCAGCUUGACUGCGAGCGUGACGGCGCGAGCAGGUGCGAAAGCAGGUCAUAGUGAUCCGGUGGUUCUGAAUGGAAGGGCCAUCGCUCAACGGAUAAAAGGUACUCCGGGGAUAACAGGCUGAUACCGCCCAAGAGUUCAUAUCGACGGCGGUGUUUGGCACCUCGAUGUCGGCUCAUCACAUCCUGGGGCUGAAGUAGGUCCCAAGGGUAUGGCUGUUCGCCAUUUAAAGUGGUACGCGAGCUGGGUUUAGAACGUCGUGAGACAGUUCGGUCCCUAUCUGCCGUGGGCGCUGGAGAACUGAGGGGGGCUGCUCCUAGUACGAGAGGACCGGAGUGGACGCAUCACUGGUGUUCGGGUUGUCAUGCCAAUGGCACUGCCCGGUAGCUAAAUGCGGAAGAGAUAAGUGCUGAAAGCAUCUAAGCACGAAACUUGCCCCGAGAUGAGUUCUCCCUGACUCCUUGAGAGUCCUGAAGGAACGUUGAAGACGACGACGUUGAUAGGCCGGGUGUGUAAGCGCAGCGAUGCGUUGAGCUAACCGGUACUAAUGAACCGUGAGGCUUAACCUU
rnacentral:rRNA from 2 species